rnacentral:rRNA from 1 species
GCGGAGGAAAAGAAACCAACAGGGAUUGCCCCAGUAACGGCGAGUGAAGCGGCAAGAGCUCAAAUUUGAAAGCUGGCUCCUUCGGGGUCCGCAUUGUAAUUUGCAGAGGAUGCUUCGGGAGCGGUCCCCAUCUAAGUGCCCUGGAACGGGACGUCAUAGAGGGUGAGAAUCCCGUAUGGGAUGGGGUGUCCGCGCCCGUGUGAAGCUCCUUCGACGAGUCGAGUUGUUUGGGAAUGCAGCUCUAAAUGGGUGGUAAAUUUCAUCUAAAGCUAAAUAUUGGCCGGAGACCGAUAGCGCACAAGUAGAGUGAUCGAAAGAUGAAAAGCACUUUGAAAAGAGAGUUAAAAAGCACGUGAAAUUGUUGAAAGGGAAGCGCUUGCGACCAGACUCGCUCGCGGGGUUCAGCCGGCAUUCGUGCCGGUGUAUUUCCCCGCGGGCGGGCCAGCGUCGGUUUGGGCGGUCGGUCAAAGGCCCUCGGAAGGUAACGCCCCUAGGGGCGUCUUAUAGCCGAGGGUGCAAUGCGACCUGCCUAGACCGAGGAACGCGCUUCGGCUCGGACGCUGGCAUAAUGGUCGUAAGCGACCCGUCUU